UGUGUUGUGAGACCAAAUAAUGCCCCGGAAACAAAAGCUUUCUCCUCUCAUUUCCCAAUUAUUUCCAUAAUGUCUCCACCCAAUGAAAACACUAAAUUCCCAAUUGAGUGGCCGCGCCACUGGUCUCCGCCACCCUCCGCUUUGUGCGCCGCUGCUCAAUGUGUCUCUUUCUCAUUCCCGAUAUGAGAAUCAGUCUCUCUUUCUCUCUCUAUUUCUCUCGCCAACCUUACCCGAUUCUCUUACAGGUUGAGCAGCCAUUUUCGGUUUCUUUCUUCCUCUCUCAUUUGUUGUUCAGGCUUGGCUUUGUAUUCUAAGGUGUGUUCCUCAAAUUGUUAUUGAAUAAUUCUUAUUAUGAGCAUUGUUUGAGCAGCCAUUCUCAGUUGAGCAGCCAUUUUCGAUUUCUUUUAAUGAACAUGUUUACUCAUAAUGUAUGUUUGAAUUGUGAGUAUUAUUUGUGAAUUUGUAUUAUCAGGAAAAAUAAUAUAAUAAUACUUUGGGUUUGUUGUUAUUCCUCUCGAGCCAAAGGAGAUGUGAACGCAAUGGAUCUAAAGGAGAAGUACUGAAAACAUAAUGAGUUAUCAUGUAUUUGGAACACCACCCUUUAGUUUAGCUUUUGGAUCAAACCCAUCCUUUCUUACAGAGACUAUAUGAUCAAGGAGCAAGGAAUUUUUGGAUGCUUAACACAUGUCCUCUUGAAUGCUUGACGCAUAGUGUUUUGUUCUUUUCUAGUUUUCUCCCACUUAGAUUUUAUUUACCUUGAUCCCUAAUUCCUAAUUCCUAAUUCCAUUAGUAA